CGACGACUGGCCGUGGCUCGCGUGGGUGCUCCAGCACUCGAUACAGACGCCCGUCUCCUGGCUCUGGCCGUUCUGAGUUCCUCGUCCCCAUAUUCCCCUUUGCUCCCCUCCCUGUGCCUCCGACGUAGUUUCGGACUACAGCGUUUUCGUUGACUUUUCCUAGUAGAGUCUAGACGUAGACGUAGAUGCGCGAAGCAUACCCGCAUACCGGACUGUAGACUGACGACGACGUCGGUGCGUUUGGGGGG
rnacentral:misc_RNA from 1 species